AGGAAAUAUCUGUUCUUUUUCAGUCGUGCGGGUCAGUGGCCAGGCAAUCUUCAGCUGCAGAGGGACCUCGCAGGCUGGGGGUCUCUGGUGCCAUCAGAGCUCUAAGCAUGAUUUGGAUGGUGCGACACUGAAUCAGGAAAGCAGUUGUCUCUACAUUCUCAUCCAGAUCUGAGGAAAAGCUAUUUGAAGUUUUCACCAUUGGCAGUUUCCAGAAAUUCUCGAUUUGGAUCCGUGGGCUCCGAUUCUACACCUUCUGAUGCAUUAGACGUGCUUUUUAACAACCGUUCUGGUUGUUUCCCCUUGCAGACGGUCUCCAGAACGUGACUGGAGGGACGUCAUCACGGGAAUACAUAAUCCGUUGGAGUGAGAUGGGGCCAAAGUUUCCACUUCUCUGGGGUCCUUUUCGCUGGUUCCAGUCGCUUAGGGACUAGCCCAUGUUGGGACUAGGAUUGUAAUUUAGUUGGACAAAUCUGGGUUGGAAUUCCUGCUCUACCGCUUGAUCAAAGAACGCAGCCUCUCCAUCCUUAGUUCACACAGUUUGUACAAGGGUUAAACAAGACAGCUCAUAAAGGGCACAGCAAGCCAUCUGGCACAGGGGACGCGCCCAAUAAGCUUGCAUGGUUACUGUGGUUGAGCCAAUCUCCUGAAUGACUCCUGCUGUCUUCAUAUCUAAUGUUUAUGCUCUAACGUGCAUUUAGACAAAAGGGUAAGGACAGAGCCUCUUAGAAGACAGUUCCAGCCAAGGCCCAGGAUUUGAAAACCGCAGGAGGGUGGAGGAAAUUGAGGCAGCAAAGACAGAGACAAGUGACAAUGGGAUGAAAUCUCAAAGUGGCACAAGGAGCAUUCCACUCGAAUUAUGUAAGGAACUCUUUGCUGGUGUUGGAACAUUUUCAAACAUUCCGCAGAGAAAGAACCAAAGACAAAAUGAACGCAGAACAACGAUCCAUGGGUGGAAGUUACAGGGAGUGAAUUUCAGCUCACUAGAAGGAAAAGCUUUCAAAGUAAAAGCUGACAAUAGAAUGGCUGUUCUCAUGAAGCAGUGGGCUCCUUCACAUCUGAUAUAUUCCAGCAGGAUGAAAAAAGACAACAAUAGCACCUAAGAAGAUUCGAAAAGGGAACAAUGUUGCAGCAUCUUGUGCCAAUUAAAGAAAGACACAAGAAACGUGCCUGGCAGCAGUGGCAAGGUCAAAGGUGGCUAGGAAGGAGAGAAGACCGAGAGGCAAAUGCCUGUGGGAGAUGUUGACCUUCUACCUUGGAGGCGUGGCCCUUACCUGGGGCGGCAACAGGAGAAGCAUCAUGACUCAGCACAGCGAGUCCUAGGAAAGUACCAGGGUUGCCUGAGGAUAACAGAAGGGAUUGUUCAGGGGGUGCAACAUGUGGAAAUGAAGGCGAUAUGGGGAGGAAUUUCUUAACAAGCUGUUGACUAUCAAAAUAGACCACCGACUACAAAAUGAGGGUAGCGCCUCAUCCGUGUGGACUGCAUAAGCACGUGCUUAUCUGAGGGUGGGGGAUCAACCAAGCGAUCUUGUCAGGCUUCUGAGAUCCUGAGAUUCCACAGCCCCUUGCUUAUACAGCACCUUUCAAAAUGCUAUUGUGGCCCAGUUUCAAACAGGUCGUUUGAUAUUCUUAUUCUAUAGCUAAGGAAUCUAGGCCAAGUCAUGUUAGACCAUUUACCCAAAAUUAAACUGGAAGCUAGCUUUUGUCAGCUUUUUGCUGUCCUCUGAGGAGACUUUUAAAUUGGCCAUGUUCUGGUUUCAGGCUUAUAAUUAGCCUCCAGAAAUGAUGACAAAUCAUCCUGCUACAUUGAGGCCAGUCUUUUUUUCCCCAGGAACCUGACACAAAGUCCCUAUCCCAGCAGUCUGUGACCCAGUUUAUUUUAUUCAUGUUACUGGAGCUCUGGGGCUGCGAGAAGAGCAGAUGAUAGUUAACAGAUGCCUGGAGCUCCUGUCCUUUGCUCCUCUCUGAAGAAAAUGGUUUCCUGUGGUGGGUGGGGUGAUGCCCCAUUUGACUGAAGCCCACAGGCUCAGCUUUUGGAGGUCACUGAACCUCAGCCUGCAUCUCCGAAUUUGGAUGGAGCUCAGAAUUCACACUGUGGAUCAUUACAGCCUGCAAGUGUCUUUGAGAACCUGGGGGUAGAUGGGUCAGUUAGGGGCUUCUGAUGAUUUCUCUCUCUGUCUUGGGUACUCUCCCUCAUUUCAAAAUAUUUAAGGCCAUCUGAUCAGCCAUGGAUUUUCUGGAGUGACCCAUGGAUUGGGAGUUACCUCAAGCCCCAAAGCAGUCAAGGCCAUACACUACUCACUCUGGUCUCAAUUCUGGGAGUCCUUCCCUGCAACACACACACAUACACACACACACACCCACCCACCCCAUCUCCACACCCUCAAAAUUUUAUAAGGUGUUUCCAAAACCAGUGCAAAUCCUUGACUUCAGGCGAGCACUAGAGCUCACUCCAGUGUCUUCAAUGCCACCCUUUGGCCACAAGCAACAGAGGGUGCCAUCAUUGUUGGUGUCCUGGCUGGAGGAAGGGAGUCCAUCCUGAAGACAUAGUUUGAUCAUUAUGCUAAUCAUUAAGAAAGUUAUAUGUCUUUAAAAUACUGUGAGCUGCAUUUCUUUGGUACCCUUUUCUUAUAAUUUUUAUUUGAUAUUACAUUAGGAGACAGCAAAACACAGAGGAAAGAGCACAACCUGGGUUUGAAUCCUGGCUCUGCUAUUUAUAGGUCAGCUAAGCUCGGACAAGUAACCUAACUUCCCUGGAGCCUCGUUUUCCUCGUGUGUCAAGUGGGAAGAAUUACGUCCGUCUCAAAGGUCACAGUGAAACUAACAGCUGGCACGUUCAGGGCACCUAGUUUUUGGUCGGCAUAUGGCGGUUGCUUAGCAAAGGGCAGUAGGGAGAUGAUGAAUCAGGUUGUUGGGUGAGCGUCCUUUUCCUGGCUUCACCUCUCCCGAUGGGAAGAUUGCACCUAUUAUCAACCUUCUGUUGGCCUGGGUGCCCUCAACUUCUCCAGGAGCCAACACUCCUCUGAAUAUCUGACACCUAAGCUCAUACUGUCUGGCACCCCAGUCCAAAUUGUUUACUCCCCCUGAAAAGGCUGCUGUCAUGUUCCUUCAUAUGCUGUUGGUACCCAACCCCUCUGCUGGAGCCCAGCCUUAUGGGCGCAUCCAUCCUUGGUUCCUGCCCAUCAGCCUUUCUCUGAAGGAUGCAGAGAGAACAGGGACUCAUGCAGUCUUACUCCUCCGCCUGUGAUUCCAGCGUACCCCAACCGAAGCGUAACUGGGCUUGCUGGUCCUCGUCCAUGGCAGGUAAGAUGGAGUAUUAGUAGUUGUACUGCUAUUAGUAAUAGUAGUAGCAUCUAAUUACUUCUGAAGAUAUGUAAACUAUAAUUGCAUCUUUUAUAUGGAAUUGAUAUAUGCCUUUAAAAGUGACUUGUAAAGCGAAUUUUGGAGCGUCACAUCUUAUUUUUCCAUUGACUUGCAUUAUUAAAUAGGAACGUGUUCCUUGAGAAAAAAUUGAAUUUUAAUAAAAUUGUGUGAAGGAAUACAGCUAGUAUACAGAUUACUAAAGUAUUUGUAUAAAAUCCUAGUAAUGAUACUGAAAAUCAGUUACAAAAUAUAAACAAAAACCUUUGAGUGUUAUUUUCAUGUUUAACACAAUUGCUUAAUGUUCUACAAAAGGAAUGACGACAGCCUAAUUGCGUAGAAUAUUCUGGAACCGAAACUCAAUUUUCAUGAACUCUUUUCUAAAACCAUAUAGUGGCAUAAAGUGCUAUUUUUUUCCUCUGUUGCUCAGAUCCUGUAUCUUAGAACUUUGAGAAUCUAAUGUGUGGCAUAAUUUCCUUUGGUUUCGUUAAAGCUUUGGGUUUGAUUUAAUCUGAAAGAAGAAACACAACUAUAGAUGUAAUCAGGAGCAUUGUAUC